UAAGCAGGUAAUGAAAUUGUGUGGCUCAACCAUACACCCAUUAUCUGAACUGCUCAGCUAGAGCAUGGAAGAGGUAGCUGGAAUUCCUAGUGUAGGAGUGAAAUCCGUAGAUAUUAGAAGGAACACCGAUGGCGUAGGCAGGCUACUGGUCCAUUGCUGACACUAAGGCACGAAAGCGUGGGGAGCGAACGGGAUUAGAUACCCCGGUAGUCCACGCCGUAAACGAUGGAUGCUA
rnacentral:rRNA from 1 species